rnacentral:tRNA from 1 species
GCGCCCGUAGCUCAAAUGGAUAGAGCGGGGGACUCCUAAGCCUCAGGCUGCUGGUUCGAUUCCAGUCGGGCGCA